UGGGGAAUAUUGGACAAUGGGCGGAAGCCUGAUCCAGCCAUGCCGCGUGUGUGAAGAAGGUCUUCGGAUUGUAAAGCACUUUAAGUUGGGAGGAAGGGCAUUAACCUAAUACGUUGGUGUCUUGACGUUACCGACAGAAUAAGCACCGGCUAACUCUGUGCCAGCAGCCGCGGUAAUGCAGAGGGUGCAAGCGUUAAUCGGAAUUACUGGGCGUAAAGCGCGCGUAGGUGGUUUGUUAAGUUGAAUGUGAAAUCCCCGGGCUCAACCUGGGAACUGCAUCCAAAACUGGCAAGCUAGAGUAUGGUAGAGGGUAGUGGAAUUUCCUGUGUAGCGGUGAAAUGCGUAGAUAUAGGAAGGAACACAGUGGCGAAGGCGACUACCUGGACUGAUACUGACACUG
rnacentral:rRNA from 1 species